UACGAAGGGGGCUAGCGUUGCUCGGAAUCACUGGGCGUAAAGGGCGCGUAGGCGGCCGAUCAAGCCAGGGGUGAAAGCCUGUGGCUCAACCACAGAAUUGCCUUUGAUACUGUUUGGCUCGAGACCGGAAGAGGUUGGUGGAACUGCGAGUGUAGAGGUGAAAUUCGUAGAUAUUCGCAAGAACACCAGUGGCGAAGGCGGCCUUCUGGACGAUGACUGACGCUGAGACGCGAAAGCGUGGGGAGCGAACGGG
rnacentral:rRNA from 1 species